AAUAAUAAUAAUAAUGUUAAAACCCCCCUAAUAAAGAUACCGGUUCUAAUUUAAUAAUAAUAAUAAUAAUAAUAAUAAUAAAAUGCAUUAUUAAACAUUUGCCUUUCUUUUCUUCCCUUUUUCUCGACCUCCAGUUAAGUCAGUAAAAGAAAUCAAAGACCGCAGCGAAGGUAAACACCCCUGUGACGGUGGUCGCCGGCUAUCUCUGGCGGUUCUCGCGCGUCGUCAGUUACGAUCGCAGCUUAAUUAUUCUUCACUCGUUUUUCUACAACCUUCAUUUGUGAGGCUAGGCUAAGGCAUGAGUACGAAGAUUCGUGUGGUGGUUACCUCUUUUGGUCGGCCAUUUUUGGAAAGCCUUCCAGCUCAUACACGGAAGAUUACAAUGCCUGAAACAAGAGUAUUAUACACUGUUCUUCGAUCACCUCACAUUGACAAAAAGUCUAGAGAACAAUUCGAGACGAGGACCCAGAAAUGCGUACUGGAUAUUAAAGCGGAGAGACAUGAGUUGCGUCAGAAGUUGUUUUGGUUAAAACGUCAUCGUAUGUUUGGUGGUCAAAUGGAAGUCCAAGUGUUUUCCAAGACUCGUCUAGACCCUAAACUUUUGCCUCUCCCGCAGAGAAAGCCUUAGUACGUCUUCUGCAGCCACCUCAAUGUUUGGAGCUCCCAAUUUUGUUGGUUAUAUUGCUCAGUUACAGAUCUCUUUGAAGCUUUUGUUAAGACCUGAUUGAUCCAUACUUUGUCAGAUACAUGUGUUCUUGUGGAAGCAAUAUUGUAAUGAAUGGAUAUCAGAAUUAUGUACAUCAGCUUAGUUCAAUUACUAGCAGAAGCUAAAGUAUUUCCAGAUUGAUGUAUUAACAUAAGAUUUUGAUUAUGCAUUAACUUAUCUUUUUCUGCGUUAAAAAUGAUGGAUCAUGCAAUUAA